rnacentral:rRNA from 1 species
UACAGAGGUCCCAAGCGUUGUUCGGAUUCACUGGGCCUAAAGGGUGCGUAGGCGGUCGGGUAAGUCUGACGUGAAAUCUUCAAGCUCAACUUGGAAACUGCGUCGGAUACUAUUCGGCUAGAGGAAUGGAGGGGAGACUGGAAUACUUGGUGUAGCAGUGAAAUGCGUAGAUAUCAAGUGGAACACCAGUGGCGAAGGCGAGUCUCUGGACAUUUCCUGACGCUGAGGCACGAAAGCCAGGGGAGCAAACGGG